rnacentral:rRNA from 1 species
CGCCGAUGGUACUGGGGUCACACCCGGGAGAGUAGGUGGCCGCCAACC